GGUGACAACGAGGCGAGGCAAGCGGAUCGGUGUUCCGGGCGUCUAUCUCCGAUCCGCGUGGCUCCGUGCCAGGAUCCGGCAUCAGGUGACAACGAGGCAAGGCAAGCGGGCUCGGGCCAGCGUCUCUUCUUGCCCGAUCCAGUUCGCCCGCUCCCCGCGGCAGCCGCAGCAGCUCUCCACCAUCAUCUGAUGCGAGUAUGCGACCGCCUCGACCCGCCGCCGCCGGCCCCCGAUUGCCCAGGGA
rnacentral:lncRNA from 1 species